rnacentral:pre_miRNA from 1 species
UUGAAUAAUGUGAAGACUUCAACUUGCAUACUUGGAGGAUUUGAAGACUUCAACUUGUAUACAUGGAUGAUUUGAAUACUUCAACU